UGUAAAUCACCCAUUAAAUAAUCAUCCAUAUAAAAAAAACUUCAAAUACCUGAAAACUUAUCACUCAAUCUGUCUAACAACUAUAGUCACCAAAAUUAACGGGAAAUGACGUAGCAAAAAUCUUUUGCUUGGCUUGAGAGUCUUGUGAGACUUUUGAUUCAUCUCUCUUAAUCAUUCACUGUCUUUAUCUUUUAGGUUAUAAAUUAUUUUUUCUUACAUUAAAAAAAUAAAACUAAAGUGCACAACUAUAAGUCUAGCUAAGACUACUUACUUCCCCACUAAGUACGAGUGACUAUUUUAAAUUUUAAAUUUCUCAUGAUUCCAUUUUAAGAAUACUCAUAAUUCAAGACAUCAAACUUAGGCUUCAAGCAACUCCCAAAGCAGAGGAAACUAUUUUUUAAUUCCAUUUAUUUAUACUACAUUGUGAAGUGGAUAUGAAACAAGGCCCAUAAAUGUCCACUAGACUAAGUUUGACCCAUAUAGUAUAAAGGGUCACCUAUAUGGCCACACAAUUUAUAUAUGUAGUUUUUAGGUUUAGAAAGCUCAAUAGUUCAAGUGUACAACGUUUGGCAGUUACGAAUCUAGAAUAUCUGACUAUGUAUAUCAAAAACUCUGUAUAGUGAAGUCAGGAGUUUCAAUUCUUAUAAAGAUAUUUUCAACGAAACAUGGAAUUCAUCCUAGCCAUGGAUGAGAAUAGUCAAAAGAUGUUUUUUAGCGAACGUCUUCAAGAGAUUUAUCAGUGACGUUUUCGACACUAGUGAAUGUAAUUUUAAUAUCAAUGCAAGUAAAGAAAGAAAAAAUACAGUAAGUUACUAAUCUGGUUCAAGAGAUAUAUGUCUUGAAUCUCUGCCAACAUGUCUUUUUCUUAUAAGUGCUAAUAUAUAUGUUUCUUCGUCUUCUGAGACGAGCCUCAUCAUCUUAGAUUCAAGAGAUAUUCUUAGUGACGUCUUGAAUAAACUUUAGAAGAGCAACGUGCGAAGAUCCACCGUCCAUUAAAGCUACGUGACUCUUCUCGCUCAUCUCCUUCACUCUACUCCUCACGUCACUAUCCUGCUCCAUCAAACACCGGAUCCCUCUCUCUAUCUCCUCUGCCGUCAUCAACUCAUCAUCCGCCGCCAUGAAAUCUCCUCGGAAACUAUUUCGGACCUCCACCGCUAGCCCUAGCUCCUCAACCAUCUCGAACGCGUUAACUUGUUGCUCUGCGUAAAGCGGCCACGUAGCCAUCGGAACUCCGAACCAUAGACUCUCUAGCGUCGAGUUCCAUCCACAAUGCGACACGAACCCUCCGAUCGCAGGAUUUGCUAGAAUGGCGCUUUGUGGAGCCCAACCUACAAUCUUUCCUAUCUCUGCCGUCCGUUCCAAGAAUCCUUCCGGGAGAAUUUCCUCAAGAUUCGUAAAUUCUUCGGGAGGUCCUAUCGAUCCUUUUGGUUGAGCACGACGAAGAGACCAGACAAAGCGGUGACCACUUCGCUCAAGCGCGAUUGCGAUUUCUUUAGCUUGGCCCUCACGGAAACCUCCCAUGCUUCCGAAACAGAGGAAAACAACGGAUUUACGUGGCUGCUCGUCUAGCCACCGUAGGAUCUCCGAUUGCUUAUCGUCAGAUGAAUUUGGACCGUUGAUUUUAAGAUUCAUAACCGGUCCAACUGUGUACACCGUAGGCAGAGGACUAUCUACGCCGGAGAAAAACUUCAUAGCUUGAGGCUCAAGCUCAGCGAAUGUAUUUACCAAAAUACCUUUAGUUUCUCGGAAUCUUCUGGUUUGUCUAAACAUAACCGGUAACCACUCCUUGGUUAAUAGAACCGAGGGGAAACACUUAACCGGUAAAGGACGAGUCAAACAAGGAACUUCCAGCUCAGUAGUGUCCGAGUCCUUGAGGUCACUAACGUCAUAGUUCUUAACGUCGUAAAGGUAUUCAACAUGAACUUGCAAUCCAAGAAACGUUGCGUUGGAUGUGUAAAACAUGUAACUGGGAACACCAAACUCAUUAGCGACAUCAAUCAUCAUCAUGCAAAACAUAUCCACCACGAAUCCAGCAAGACGCGACGGCGAAUCUGGUGGACCCGGGUCAGUAAGUUUUUCCACCGUGGCUUUGACCUGCGGCUUGAAGUUAUCAAUGUAGUCGAAAAAAUGUGGUUUGGUGUCAUCGGAGUCUGGUUUAUCAGGGACGGAGAGAACGUUGUAGCUAAGACGUUCUUCAGAAUCAGAGGAGAGAGAAGCGAUGUAAGAAGAAGAGUUACUGCUACUAAAUCCAUGCAUCUGAGGGAUGAUGAUGAUGGUGAUGGAGAGAUGGUCGUCACGGUCAACAUGAAGCUUAGCUACCUCCACUAAUGGCCGGAGAUGUCCGUCACCAGGUGAUGGUUGAAGAUGUUUCGGUGAAGAGAUAAGAUUCGUCUUUAGCAUACAUGACAUGUGGUACUUGGACAUCUACUGAUGUUAGUUUAACUUUUGUCACAGGCCAUACAAUCUUGAUCUUCAGACUUCAACGUUAGUACGUUACGUUAGUAUUUUUUUCUUUUAAUUGUCAGCUAUAUACUGCACUAUCAUACAAUUAAAGGUAACCGACGUUUAAUUCAUUGAGAUUUUGUUGGCAUGUAUUAUUGUUUCUCGAGAUAUCAAGCAUGUGGUGGGAUGCAUAAUAGACAAGAGUCACAAGACACGACGCAGAACAAACAGACUCUCUUUUUGGUCCACAUAUAUAAUGACCUAUCCAAGAAACGUACUCCACUCUUCCACCUUCUCGGUUACUGAUGCGAAAGUAGCAAACAAAUAUUUCACAUUUUUCCAAAAAGUGUUUUUAAAAAGUCACCUAAUAUGAUAACUCAUAAAAUUUUCGUUUUGGUCCGUGAUUGAACCAAGCUAUAAGUCUAUUAUAACAUUCUCAAAAUGUAAAUUAGUAUUUCUAAGAAACCAUGAUGUAGUUGUUUUUUCUUUUUGUGGGGUGAUGUCAGCAUUGGACUUAAGGUGAGUUCAAGAUUUAGUAUGCAACUAAAGCACUUUCAAGUCGUGAACAGAAUCCUUCACUUCCCUAAAUUUUUAGAUAUUGGAACAACUUAUAGAUUCAUAAGACUAAAUCUUGUGUUGAAAUAUUGAAGUUCUAUCUCAA
rnacentral:lncRNA from 1 species